GCGGCGUAUUAGCUAGUUGGUGAGAUAAAGGCUCACCAAGGCAGUGAUACGUAGCCGACCUGAGAGGGUAAUCGGCCACAUUGGGACUGAGACACGGCCCAGACUCCUACGGGAGGCAGCAGUAGGGAAUCUUCCACAAUGGACGAAAGUCUGAUGGAGCAACGCCGCGUGAGUGAUGAAGGCUUUAGGGUCGUAAAACUCUGUUGUUGGAGAAGAACGUGUGUGAGAGUAACUGCUCAUGCAGUGACGGUAUCCAACCAGAAAGCCACGGCUAACUACGUGCCAGCAGCCGCGGUAAUACGUAGGUGGCAAGCGUUAUCCGGAUUUAUUGGGCGUAAAGCGAGCGCAGGCGGUCUUUUAAGUCUAAUGUGAAAGCCUUCGGCUUAACCGAAGAAGUGCAUUGGAAACUGGAAGACUUGA
rnacentral:rRNA from 1 species